UGGUCAUUACCAAGGCUUUGAGAAUUCAGUUUCUUAUUUGCUGUGGACAUGACCAUAAAAAAAUUCCCAAUAGGUUUUCUAUGUGCUGCUUGCUAGCAGUUAACCUGUUGGGGACAUUU